AGAGUUUGAUCCUGGCUCAGGACGAACGCUGGCGGCGCGCCUAACACAUGCAAGUCGAACGAGCGAGAGAGAGCUUGCUUUCUCGAGCGAGUGGCGAACGGGUGAGUAACGCGUGAGGAAUCUGCCUCAAAGAGGGGGACAACAGUUGGAAACGACUGCUAAUACCGCAUAAGCCCACGGCUCGGCAUCGAGCAGGGGGAAAAGGAGCAAUCCGCUUUGAGAUGGCCUCGCGUCCGAUUAGCUAGUUGGUGAGGUAACGGCCCACCAAGGCGACGAUCGGUAGCCGGACUGAGAGGUUGAACGGCCACAUUGGGACUGAGACACGGCCCAGACUCCUACGGGAGGCAGCAGUGGGGGAUAUUGCACAAUGGGGGAAACCCUGAUGCAGCGACGCCGCGUGGAGGAAGAAGGUUUUCGGAUUGUAAACUCCUGUCGUUAGGGACGAUAAUGACGGUACCUAACAAGAAAGCACCGGCUAACUACGUGCCAGCAGCCGCGGUAAAACGUAGGGUGCAAGCGUUGUCCGGAAUUACUGGGUGUAAAGGGAGCGCAGGCGGGAAGACAAGUUGGAAGUGAAAACCAUGGGCUCAACCCAUGAAUUGCUUUCAAAACUGUUUUUCUUGAGUAGUGCAGAGGUAGAUGGAAUUCCCGGUGUAGCGGUGGAAUGCGUAGAUAUCGGGAGGAACACCAGUGGCGAAGGCGGUCUACUGGGCACCAACUGACGCUGAGGCUCGAAAGCAUGGGUAGCAAACAGGAUUAGAUACCCUGGUAGUCCACACCGUAAACGAUGAUUAC
rnacentral:rRNA from 1 species